rnacentral:lncRNA from 1 species
GUGGCACUAACGUGAACGUAGGAGGCAAAGGCGGUACUGGGGUGAACACCGGGAAGGGAACCAACGUUGGUGUUGGCAAAGGAGGAGUGUCCGUAAACACAGGGCACAAGGGAAAGCCCGUGUAUGUUGGAGUAAAACCAGGACCAGACCCUUUUAACUACCAGUAUGCAGCCACCGAAACCCAACUCCAUCAAGACCCAAACGUUGCUAUUUUCUUCUUGGAGAAAGACAUGCGUCCUGGAACAACAAUGAACUUGCACUUCACCACAAAUUCAAACACGCAAACUUUUGUGCCGCGCGAAACUGCGGAAUCCAUCCCAUUUUCGUCCAACAAGCUGCCAGAAAUCUUCAACCAAUUUUCAGUGAAAUCGGGUUCCGUGGAAGCGGAUAUAAUCAAGGGUACAAUUCAAGAGUGUGAGAAUCCAGCCAUUAGAGGAGAGGAGAAAUAUUGUGCUACCUCUUUGGAGUCCAUGAUUGACUUUAGCACUUCUAAGCUUGGAGGAGGAAAUGUUCGAGCAAUUUCGACAGAAGCCGGAAAAGGAGCUACAUUGCAGAAGUACACAAUAACUUCUGGAGUGAAGAAGUUGGCGGCGGAUAAGUCGGUCGUGUGUCACAAGCAGAACUAUCCCUAUGCUGUCUUUUACUGCCAUGCAACAAAAACAACAAGAGCUUAUGUGGUGCCCCUGAAAGGUGCUGAUGGGGUGAAUGUUAAAGCAGUAGCAGUCUGCCAUACAGACACAUCGGAGUGGAACCCUAAUCAUUUGGCCUUCCAAGUUCUCAAAGUUAAGCCGGGAACUGUUCCGGUCUGCCAUUUCCUUCCCAGUGAUCAUGUUGUCUGGGUUCCAAACCAGAAAUCUACCUGAUUUGACUGAUCAACCCUUGAGUUCUACGUAUGAUGAUGUGAUCAGCUCAAUCAGCAUAGUUUGAGUGGCAAGAGUUUGAAAUUAAAUCGACCGUCGAUUACUUCUUAUUGUCACUAUGUAUUUCAGCCUAUAUAUAUACUCAUAAAUGAAAGCAUACUAUCGUGUGGACUUGUACCAAAAAGCAUGCUAGUGGACAUGCUCUACUACAUUCAGUAAUAGUUAUAUAUGCUUUGAUUCUGUGGUGCCAUCUGUCCACUGGUUCAGUUUUAAAUUGUCGUGCUAUUAUAUGCAUGAUACACGGGUUUCAUCUCCUUUGUCUUAGGAGAGGGAGGGAGUUGAGUACGUUGCAUGUCGAUAAUUAACAAAUUUUGUAUAUACUUAUAAGGAAGUGGAACCUUAAUUUCUUUUACGAUCUAAUCAAAGCAGUUACCCAGGGACUGCCAAGAAGCUAAAAUCCCAAACCAAGGAGGGCACCAGAUAACAAAGGGAAGUUUCAUUUGUACAAAUAAAAAUCCACAAAAAAAUCUCGCCACAAAAGUACAAAUUCAAAAAAAAAAUCAGGCCACUAUUGCAUGCUUCAAAAUUAAAGAAAAUUUCAGGCCACUGCAUGCUCUUGCUUUCCGGGUUUUCCCCACAAAGUUUUCUGUUGACAGGUAGGCCGACAAAAAUAUGAGCGCUUCACACCAGGCAAUGGCAAGGGCUGCAUGUUUUACACCUAAUCCCAACAAAUUUGGUAGUUCACCUUCUUACUUCCCCAUAAAUAUUGAACCCAUAUGCUACUGUUUACCAUAUCUCUCUGAGUUUUCAUGUUUCAUCCAGUAAUUUUCGUUUGUGUUGCAAAAGUUGAGUCUUAAUGGGGUUCCUUCUCUCCAGAAUCUUUGCUUUUCUAACUGUAAGUAAGAGCUGUAAUUUUGAAUCCUCCCUGUUACUAUAGUUAAUUUGAUUGAUCUUAUGUUUUUGCUAAUUUUAUUUUCUUUCUCUCUUACUAAUUGUGCGAGUUUAAUUUCAGCUCACACUGGUGGGUGUCCAUGCUGCUUUACCUUUGUCACCUCAGCUUUACUGGAAUUCCGUCCAGCCAAACUCACCAAUGCCGAAGAUAUCAGUCAACUAGUCCAGACUGGUUAGUAUCUAUGUACAACCUCAGAUUGGCUUCAAAAACUCAUUUCCACAACCAAUCGUCCUUGUGAUUUACACAUGUUUUCACUUUUGCACAAGAAGAAAAAGAGGCAACAACCGCGGAACAAGUUUGGCUGUUGUUACUAGCCUAGCGAUUGCUAAAUACGUGACAAAAAGUUAAAAAAGCGCACCAAAAAGUAAAAAAUUAUGACAUACUGUUUGUCACGCUUCUAGGAAUAGCUACACUAGAAAUAGCACCCUGGCUCCAUAGCUAUUUAUGUUGGUAAAUCCGCAGACUUCAUUACUGUUGGCAAAGGGGGAGUUAUUGUUCAUAACCAAGUUGCAGAUGUUGCAACUAACGUUCAAUAUCUUUACCGGGAUGAUUCAACUGAAGGCAAGAUGCAGAUCAAAAAGUAAAGACAUAAAGAUGCUGCUGAAAAUCCAACACUUGAAGACCCAACUCGAGUAAUUUUCUUCUUGGAGAAGGACAUUCAUCCUGGCACAACAGUGAAUUAUCACUUAUCCGGAAAUUCAACCAGAGAAACUUUCCUGUCCCGCAAGACUGCAGAGUCCAUCCCCUUCGGCUCAAGCAAAUUGGCAGAAAUUCUUAACCGAUUUUCAGUGAAACCGGGGUCUUUGGAAGCCGACAUAAUGAAAGAAACCAUCCAAUAUUGUGAAGGGGUGGCCAUGAGAGCCGAAGAAAAAUAUUGUGGUACCUCUCUAGAGUCGAUGAUUGACUUCACCACCUCCAAGCUUUGAAGAAAUAAUAUUAAAGCAAUCACGACGGAGGUGGAAAAAGGAGCUGCCCCGCUGCAGAAUUACACAAUAACCCCUGGAGUGAAAAAGCUGGCAGGCAACAAACUUAUUGUGUGCCAUAAGAUGAUCUAUCCAUAUGCCGUUUUCUACUGCCAUGCAAUUGAAAAAACAAGGACUUUUAUUGUGCCUCUCAAAGGCGCUGACGGGACGAAUGCUAAAGCAGUAGCAGCCUGCCAUGAAGACACAUCUGAAUGGAGCCCAAAACAUUUUGCCUUCAAAGAGCUCAAUUUUGAGCCAGGAACAACUGAAUCCCAUUUGCCAUUUUCUUAAAAACGAGAAUGUUGGUUGGGUUUCAAAACAAAAACCUACAUGAGUUGAAUCCGCCGCUCGGGUCCUCUACUUGAUUAUGUAGCCCAUCAAUAGGAGUAAUUAGCCCGCUCCAUUAAUAAAAACAAUCGCAUGAGACAGAUGAGCUGUUUAUGUCUGAGACUGCGUACUCACUUCAUAACAUAUUCUUAUUACUCAUUAGCAACGCAAAAUUCCCUCUUGUAAUAGAGACGAAAAAAGUACCACCCCCCCCCCCCUUCCCAAAAUAAAAGCAAAGAAAAAAAAUAGAUGAGUAUAUUUUAUUGUAUCUCUUAAUCUUAUCCUACCUCCCAUAUCAAUAAUUUGAAUGAAAAAAAUAAGAGUAAUGCUAAAGAAACUAAAUUUGAAGAUUAAAAUUGCAAACUAAAUGAUGUAUUACUAAUAGAAAUAAGCACGUCUUUUAAGACUUAAGUAAUAAACCAAUCAUCAAUUUCCAUGUUCUUUAGUUUUCAAAAUUUAGUCUCCAAAUUGAGACUCCCUAGCAUUACUCAAAAAAAAAAAAAAAAUAUCAAUGAAUAUGGAAAAAAAUAUAUAUAAAACGGUUGAUCUCUAUUAAACCUGCUAAUGACCCGAAGCAUAAAGUACUUGCUACCGGUGAAAUAAACACUCGCAUUACUCAAAAAUUAAUAAUAUCAAUGAAUAUGGAAAAAAAAUAUAUAAAACGAUUGAUCUCUAUUAAACAUGCUAAUGACCCGAAGCAUAAAGUACUUGCUACCGGUGCAAUAAACACUCGCAUUUGAAGAACUCCUCUAUUGUAUUUGUAAUACAUAAUGGUAAUAUGUAUAUGAUCAGAUUUGUUUAUGCAUAGUUACCCUACUUCCUCUUGUGGAACUCCAGGUUGAGGAGUUAGGAGAUCUACAAGUUUGCUAAAGUGAACCACUCUAUCACACUGAGGAUUUGUUUGAUAAUGAUUUUGUUUGCAAUCUGGGAGAAGUAGUUACAAAUCUGCUAAAGUGAACCACAACAGUCAAUCACAUGACUAAGGGUUUGUGUGAUAAUCGUUUCGCUUUUUUGUAGUUUUCGCCUUUAGUGCUUGCUAUAUGGGAAAAAAAAAAAAAUAUAUAUAUAUAUAUAUAUAUGGAAAGAAAGAAGGAUGAAGGAAAAAUGGUAUAGUGAAUGUAGAUGAAAUAUACAAGGAAUGAUACACACUAAAAACAAAAAAUUUUAAGUUAUUUUCAUCUUCAAAAUUAUGUUUUCAUUCGUUGUUCUCUAUUUUUGAAUCACAAGUUUGAGUGACCAAAAUAGCCUAAGGGUAUAAAUGACAUUCGCAAAAUAUAGGAUGACUCAUCAUCACUCGGUAAGAAGUUGGUUAGUUGGAUCAAAGGUUAAUGUACCUUAGUUGAUAAGCAAAAUCACGAAGACUAAACUUAAUAAUUGAAACAUAAAUGGUCUUAUUUCUAAUUAUGUGCAAAAUGACUUUUUUAGAGGCGUUGUUUUUCUUUUUUGGACAAAGGUAAUUUUCAUUACCAAAAGAGCACAAUUACAGACAAAGAGGCCCAAAUACAUUGUAAACACAAAACAAAAAGUGAACCCCCAACACUAAACAAAAGCUCAACCCGAGAGAAGGGCCCAAAACAGAAAACCUUACAAGACUAACUUCCUCCGUCGUCGUCAAAGAACCGGCAGCCGACCACAAUCCAACAACCUAGGCCAAAGAUCUCACCAAACACAGCGCCAAAGAAGAAGGCUCCAUCUUCCUCCACCAAACACCACACAAAUUGAAACCGCAACCACCAAAGAAAGAAGCCAGAAGGAAAGAACUUUCCCCUAGCAAAAAAAGCCGAAAACGGCAUACAAUUGGAAGGUGGUGGUGUGUACACCAUAUGAGCAGAAGCUCUGCACACCUUCCUAGAAAACCUCGAAACACAGGUGGAAGAGAUGGUUGCAGAAUUGAACAUGUGUGAGAAUGAUGUAGGACAGAAGCAAAUGGAAAAGUAAAAAAAUGGCUGGAUUAGAGUCAUGGAGGUGGAAAAACUUGAGAGAGAAGAAGAAAAAGGAAGGUUGGAAGUGGGACUGUCAGAUCAAGACUGAUGAAAGGUUAGAGCGGAGGUUGCAUGGGGAUUACCAAAAAAGACGGCCAGAAAAACAUGGAGAAAGCCAAUCUCAUAGCUCGAUGUAUCCAGGACUCAAUCUACUAGUCACUCCAUUAAUGUUGAAUUAAAUACUCCAAUUUAUUUCCACACAAAGAAACAAAUCAGAAACGUAAGAAAAAAUUAAGACCACCGCAUGCUCUGCAUUUUCGGUUUCAUCUGGUAUGGAUUAUUGGAUUUUACUGAUAGAUCCAUGUUUUAAUUUGUGAAAUGUUAAGGAGAUUCUCUCAAAGUGACAUUUUUCAUGGACUUUCUGCCUCCUCAUGGUUUUGACACUAUUUUAUAAUGUUGGCACGAAAAUUUUGCUAAAAACACUAAAUGACGUAGAAUCCACGAAUAGUCUUACUUUUGAGAGAAUUUCCUUACUAUUUCUAAUUGAAUUUGAUUCAAAGUUGGGAAUAAAUGUGGAACAUCACACUAGGCAGUGGAAAGGGGCACAUGUUACACCUUAUUGAUGCACAAAACCGGAGGUCUUGGAACAACGUAAAUCCGAUCGUGAAUCUGCAUGAAAUGUAAAUAACACAAGAUGUAUCGUGGUUCAUCCCAAGGUUUGGGCUACGUCCACACUGAUUAUGUAUUUAUCUGAGAGGUGAGGGAAAGAACCUCUGAAUAUGAUAAGGGACGUGAGAGGGGUGAGAAGGCUUAAGAAAUGGCAUCCCCCAAUUGUGAGGGUGAUGGGUCCUUUUAUAGAAUAAUGACUCCUCACUUAUUACAUAUUUGCCAUUUCCUUUAUCACAUAAUUGCAUUUAAGUCCCCCGAGUAUUUGUACAAGAUCUAAAUACGAGGCCCUAAAUAUGGUAUAAACAGUAGUCCCCCAAGUCUUCGGUCAAUAGAGUCUUUUGGCUGGAGACUUGAAAUUCAGUUCAUGUGUGGGCCGAAGUAACUAGAUGUUGUCUUGAACUGAUGCUCGAUAUGAGGCGGUGCUCCAUCUGAAAUGAUGCUCUACUAGAAGUAGCACAUGCUGCAAGGUUGCUCGGCUCGUGGCUUAUGUUGCCUUGGUUGGCUCGGCUUGUGGCGUUGGGAGGUGAGGGAGUCCAUUUUAUAAAAUAAGGGUUCGCUCCUCAAUACAUAAAUGAUGGGCUAGAGUUGAUACUCGCGGCGAGGUGGUUGCUCAAUAGGCGGCGAUACUCUCUAAUGGUGGUAAGGGAGUCCCUUUUAUAGAAUAAGGGCUCGCUCCUCAAUACAUAAGUGAUGGGUUAGGAGUGAUGCUGGCGGCGUUGCUCUCUAAUGAAGGUGAGGGAGUCCCUUUUAUAAAAUAAGAGCUCGCUUCUCAGUACAUGAAUAAUGGGUGAUCUCUAAUGAAAGUGAGGGAGUCCCUUUUAUAGAAUAAGAGUUCGCUCCUUAAUACAUAAAUAAUGGGCUAAGUCCCCCAAGUAUUUUUCAUGAGGCCCAGUUGAGGCCCAAUAUAUGGUACAUAGUGUAGUUCCCCAAGUCUUCGUUCAAUAGAGUCUGUUGGCUGGAGACUUCAAACUAAAUCCAUAUAUGGGCCAAAAUGGCGGUUGUUCGGAUAUGGUAUUUGUAUACCUUGCACUGAAGCUUUGUAGGUGAAACUUUGCAAACUAGAGCUCUGUAAAUGAAGUUUUUAAAGCUAAUUGACAUAAGUGAUGUUCAUGAAUGUUUAUGUUGAUUGACAUGAGUGAUGCUCAUGGAUGUUGUCAUGAGUGAUGCUCAUGAAUGUUAACAUGAGUGAUGCUCAUAAAUGUUGACAUGAAUGAUGGUCAUGAAUGUUUAUGUAUGAUUGUUAUGAGUGAUGCUCAUGAAUGUUUAUGUAUGAAUGACAUGAGUAAUGCUCAUGUAUAAUUUGGAAUACUAGGCGUACUUUUGAUCACCUGGUUGGUGGCAUGAAGGAGAGUACGAGUUGUAUAUUUCAUCACCUGGUUGGUGGCAUGAAGGAGAGUACAUAUUGUAUAUUUCAUCACCUGGUUGGUGGCAUGAAUGGCUAGUUGCCAAAAUGAUAUUAGAGUACGGGUUCUACAUUUUAUCACCUGGUUGGUGGUAAUAGCGGCAGGUUGCCGAAUAAUUGUGGAGUACUGGGCGUACUUUUGGUCACCUGGUUGGUGGUAAUAGCGGCAGGUUGCCAAAUAAUUGUGGAGUAUUGGGCGUACUUUUGGUCACCUGGUUGGUGGUAAUAGCGGCAAGUUGCCGAAUAAUUGUGGAGUACUAGGCGUACUUUUGAUCACCUGGUUUGUGGUAAUAGUAGCAGGUUGCCGAAUAAUUUUGGAGUACUGGGCGUACUUUUGAUCACCUGGUUGAAGCUAUUUUGGGCUUAUGGGCAUUCGCCCUCCACAACAUGCCAGCCCAUUUAUUUUGGGCUUUUCCGGUUUUUUUUUUUUUUUACCCUCUGAUGGGGUUUAUACAAAUGUCUCUAAAAGAUAAGAAAAAUAAAUUACAUCAUACAUCUGUCAAAAAAGUAAAUCACAUCAUUAUGGGGGGUGUUUAUUCCUUACUUUUGCUUUCUCUGAAAUAUUCUCCCAACGACAUGAUCUUUUUUCUUUUUCUUUUUUGUUCCUUUACCCUGAUCUCUCCACCUCCAGGCACACUCACUUGCUUUUGCUUUCGUUUUUUGAUUUGAUUUUCCUUUUCUGAUCAAGUACCUGACAGCUUGGAAUAUAUUGUAAUCAAGUGACCAGAGAGUAGGACUAGUGGAUACCUCUCUUCUGUUUUUCUUUUCCUUUUGGCAUAAGGUAGACAAAAGUAAUAGUAGUAGACUUAUUAUUGAGAAAGCUUAUCUUCUUCAUGAGUGUCUCCACUGGUGGAUGAGAGGUAGCCUAUGUAAAAGUCUUCUUCUUGGCAAGAUCGCUAGAAGCGCCAGAAGCUUUUGUGGAAGAAUUAGAUGUAGCAGGCUGCGAAAGAAAUAAAUGCAGCAGGCUGCUGUGAGCUCUUAAGCUGCGGGUUGGCGAUAGCAUGGCUGCUACCACCACUUGAAUACGAAAGAGUAAGAUCCAUCUGAACGAAAUUCGCUCAUACCCAAGGCUUCAACAACUCCACUCUUAUCAUCCAUUGAAUUUCGAAGAAGACAAAGCAAAGACUCCCACAUAUUUCUAUUAAGAGAAUCCCCAACAAAAACUAGUCGCUUUCCUCUCAAUAGUCCCAACAUGUUCUUACCAUCUAACCUUGGAAGAUUGCAAUGUUUGAGUUGCCAUCUAUACUUUUCGUAGCAAUUAUCCGGCCUCUUAUUAAGAAAACAAUUGAAGGAUUCAUCAAUAAAAGGAUAAGAACCCGGAGCAUAAAGCGGAUACGAAUCAUCUCUCACCCACAUUCCAUCAAACAUGUCACAAUCAUCCCUCGAAAAUUCAUAACCGGGCUAAGUUUGAUUACUCUGCUUCUUAGAUUCAGACAAUGCCUCACUAGCAUCAUCACUCUCUAUCGAGGUCAAUGCCACUGCUUGCCCCAAAACCCCAUCAGAAUCUUUAGCAAAAGAUUCAUUUUUUCUUGAACCCUCCAGUUUCUCGGAAAAUCCCAUUUUCCCAGUUACUUGAAUCGUAGUGUUCUGGGACGAAGUCUGAUUGGAUUCUUAGGGUAAGAAAAGAAUUGCGUUUGGCAGUUGGGCACUAGCCAUAUCAGACUGCAAACCUCCACUCUCAUCUAAACGUAGGAAAUAUUCAGCUUUCCAGGAAAAUGGGUUUCCCGGGAAAGUUCAAAAGGGGUUUUGAAGAUGUUCUUGAAGCCAAAAGGGAAAGAGUAGCCAAAUGGGUUGAAAACCAGGAAGAAAGUUCAAGCGAUGCAGACGAACGAGAAGCCAUAGGCAAAGGCAGCGGUUUUUCUGGAGGGGAAGAAAAUUGGGGAAGAAAGAGAGGGUUUGGAGAAGGCCUCUGGUCUUGGGAUUGUGGGGGAAUGCUGGUGCUUUGUGGGUUUUGGGGUUGUCUGGGUUUUUGUGAUUUUGCAGAUUCACAGUGGUGAGAUUUGAUGAAAAAAUGAAAGAGAACUGACAUAGUUUUUAUGUCGUUUCCCACAGACGGCACCAAAUGUUGAUGCACAAAACCAGAGGUCUUGGAACAACAUAAAUCCGAUCGUGAAUCUGCAUGAAAUGUAAAUAACACGAGAUGUAUCGUGGUUCACCCCAAGAUUUGGGCUACAUCCACACUGAUUAUGUAUUUAUCUGAGAGGUGAGGGAGAGAACCUCUGAAUAUGAGAGGGGAUGUGAGAGGGGUGAGAAGGCUUAAGAAAUGGCCUCCCCUAAUUGUAAGGGUGAUGGGUCCUUUUAUAGAAUAAGGACUCCUCACUCAUUACAUAUUUGCCCAUUCCUUUAUCACAUAAUUACAUUUAAGUCCCCUGAGUAUUUGUACGAGAUCUAAAUACGAGGCCCUAAAUAUGGUAUAAACACACUUAAUCCCAACAAAUUUGGCACUUUAGUUGACUUCUUCUAUAAAACUUGAACCAUUCUCCUAUUGUUCACCACAAAACCUGAGUUUUCUUGUUUCAUCAUUUUCAAUAGGGUUCCUUCCCUUGAGAAUCUUUGCAUUUUUUACUGUGAGUAAACUGUGUAAAAUUUGAAUUUUCCCAAUAUAUUUGGCUUCGGUCAGGUGAUGUAGUGGCUUUGGUCGAUUAUGAUAACACUACUAAAAACAUUAUAUAUGAUAUAUGUUUUAUGAAAGGUUUUAUGGCAUGAUAGGUUUUCGGAAAACCUAUUACAUUUUUAGUCAAAAUGGUCCCUGAGAUUUGCAUGACACAUCACUUUGAUCCUGGAGAUUGAAAAUCAAUAGAAAUGGUCCCUGAGAUUGUCUACCAUCCAUUAUUUUGGUCAUUCCGUUAAAAACUUCAUUAAGUGUUCUGGAGCUCUUGGCCGAAAGUUUGGACAAUUUUCAAAGUUUCGUAACUUAAUCGUUUAUUAACCAAAUUCAAACCAUGAUACAUCAAAAUGAAGAUAGGAACGUUGAGAAAAAUAUUAUACCUAUUUAGAAGCCCAAUGGUUGUCGUAGAUGGCCGAAAAAUAGCCUGAAAGGUGACUGGUCCACCGGAAAACUGAAAAACUCGUUGGAAACUGGGUAAACUUUAAACGUUCAUAACUUCUUCAAAACUCAACAAAAUCGAGUGAUUCAAAAACAAAAAUCAUACUUCUCGACAAGAAAAAUAGAAUGAUACCUUUCUUGAUGGCUAAAUCAUCGUGCUUUGGCUGAAAAACGGCCCGAAAAUUAUUGUCUUGGUCUCGAGUUAGCCACUUUUAGGCCGUUUACGGACCAAACCACGACGAAUUAGUUAUCGAGAAAGGUACCAUUCUCUUUGUCUCAUCAAUAAUUAUGAUUUUUGUUUUUGAAUCACUCGAUUUCGUUAAAUAUUGAAGAAGUUAUGAACGUUUAAAAUUUACCUAGUUUCCAAUGAGUUUUCCAGUUUUCCUAGGGACCAUUCACAUUUCAAGCUAUUUUCCGGCCAUCUCGGUAACCAUUGGGCUUCCAAAUAGGUAUAAUCUUGUUCUACACUUUCCUAUCUUCAUUUUGAUACAUUAUGGGUCGAAUUUGGUUAAGAAACGAUUUAGUUACGAAGUUUUGAAAAUUGCCCAAACUUCUGGCCAAGAGUUCUGAGACACUUAACGGAGUUUUUAACGGAAUGACCAAAAUAAUGGAUGGUGGACAAUCUCAGGGACCAUUUCUAUUGAUUUUCAAUAUCAGAGACCAUUUUAACUAAAAAACCUACAUAUUAUUACUAUUGAGUUUUCAUAAACUUUGGGGGUUAGUACGUUGAUGAAUAACUGUUUCUGUAUUACUUAUAUAUCAACUUGGUCCACUCAUGUUUUGUUUUGUGCCCCCUCAAGAUUUAGAAUCGAGGCAUACAAUCCUGACGUUAGGGUACUCCCGCAUCGGCAUCUUUAAGUCCUCUCGGUGUAGGACCCAUCCCUUUGUUCAUUCAAUUUUAUAUUAUUCCUUUGUAGUGUCUUGGGUUAGUUAUAUGCUCUGAAUACGUUCCACAAUUGCAUAUUCAUUAUAAUUAAAUUUACAACUUUUAUUUAUGUCAGUUAUUUGUUUUUAGUUCUCAUGCAUCCUUUUAUGGUUUCGUCACCUUCGAGUGUCGGCCAGUACGUGUCUACCCCGAUGUUUGGAGGAUAUCAGGGUCGGGCGUGUCACAUAGGUACAUAAGUAUCGGUUCAUAAGUUUUGGUAACAAUAUAUCGAUACAUAACUUUUAAAACGAAUGUAUCUGUACAAAUGUAUCGGUACGUAACUAUAGUAUUUAAACAUACAUAUGUACGUAAUAUGCAUAUACAUAUAUAUGGAGAAAUUCACGCACAAUAAAAAAAUAUAUGAUAAUAUAUGACUUCUUUUAUUAUGGAAACUUAACAAUAACCAUCAAUGAUAAAUAACAUUUUUAUUAUUUAUGGGAAUCAAUAUAUAACCUACAAACAAAAAAGUCAAUAAUUACUACAACCUAUUUAAUAUUAAAAAAUUAUAAUUAAAUGCCAAGGAUUAGAAUGAUUUUUUAACAAAAUUUAAUGAAAAUGAUUUGAAAAUUUUGAGUUUUACCGAUAAGGACAAAAUAAAGGGUAAAGUGAAUAAUACCAUGAUUGAUUUUUUGGUGUAAAAAUAUGAUUUUUCGUUAAAGUGAAUAGUAUCAUGAGUUUUUUUUGUUAAAGUUACCUAGUUUUUAAUCUUAGACAAGAUUUUAUUCAAAAAGUAAUCUUAGACAAGAUUUUAUUCAAAAAGUAAUCUUAGACAAUGAUUAGAAUAUAAUUUUAAUUUUUUUUUAACAAUCUACUGUGAGAGACAGAGAGAGUAGGCUAAGACUAUAAGAGCUAGUAAUAAUGUAGUUCAAAUUUACUUUUAUAAAAAAUCAAACCUAAAAUUUAUCAUUUAUAAGUGAAAAAAAUAUCACUAAUUGUAGUAUUUAUCUUUUAAACAUUAUACACAUAGGUAACUAUGUACUUUUCCCGUGUGAUACACCAUUGGAAGUGCUUUUCGGAACAGCGUGCAUGUCGCUUUUGAGAUAAGAUCUUGUCCAAAUGUCCAUGGCUUCGUGACAGCUGUGAGAAAGUGACGAUCAACCUACAUGCAAGUUGCUUGAGGGAGCACAAGUGCUCUGCCAACUUUGAGUAACUGACGAUCACAUACGGAAAAUGAUUCCGGAUCAUUUUCUUAGGAAUUCUGUAAUCGUAUAUUAUGUGAUCAGAAAUUAUUUAAAAUUUAAAAUUUAAAAUUCAAAUAUAAAUAGUACAUAACGAAAACUAACUUCAUGAUAUAUGAUGAACAAACAUAAUUACUAUGUAUGAUGAACGAACAUAAUUACUAAAUCCCUUGGAAAAUGAUCAGCCGAGGAUCAUUUUUCCGUCACAUACAUGCAUGUUGGCAGAGCACUUUGAAUUGGGGCCCUAAAUAAGUCUUCGAAUUGGCUCUAAAGUAGUAAAAUGUACUGACACGUGGCGCUUUAUACAUUAAUAUGUAGAAAAAAUUCUGCUAAAUACAUGAAAAAUAUAUGGGUAAAUUACAAAAAAACUACCAUAAUUAUUGAUUUUACGACAUUUUUAUACCUCAUGUCAGAGCUCUGUCAGUUUUUCUGUUACUUUUCUUGUUAAAUGCUGACGUGAACCUCGGCGUCAAUCACAAGAGACUGAAACCGUUUGUAGGGUUUGUAUGGACGACAACGACAAGGAGGCUUGAGCUCACGGCGUCAAUCAUAAGUGUCUUGAGAUUUCAAAAUUGGGGAAAACAGAGAAAAUGAGAUGGAUUAGGAUCUGCAGGUACAUUAGUCGAUCAUCCCCUCUCCAAAGCAUUUCCGGCGACCUGCCAACGGGGACCAGCGGAGUGGCAGCGAUUGAAUAGAAGGACGACGAUGGCGGUGAAGACGGAGACGAACAGCGCGAGGCAAUUGAAGAAACGACAGAGAGUUGGCUCUGCAAUGACGCCAUUGGAGAGAGGGAAACCCUAGGAAGAGAGCUAAGAGAGGAGAAAUGUACUGGUUUUGAAUAGCCUGAUACUACAGUGAGAGGAGAGGAGACACGUGGGUGAUUGAAAGGUGCGAGGGAAGCUCGCGUGUGUUUGAGAUUAGAAUUAGGACAGCUAGUUGUGCGGGAAGUUGAGGAUCGCUUUGGCGCCCCGAAGCUUGAAUGCUGCUCGAUCGUAAGCCUUGGCUGCUUCAAUCGCCGUGUCGAACUGGAUCCACUCAGUUUUGUUGGGAAGCGAGAUUAUGAGUGCUGGCUUUCGGAAUGGGUUAGCGGGUUUAGGUUGCAGGGAAGGGGAAAGAGAAGGAAUAUGGGUUUUGGAUUUGGGUUGCGGGAAAGGGGUCGGGGAAGAUAAGGUGUUUGGUUUUUUGUUUUUUGUUUUGUUUUUUUGUUUUUUUAAGGGUAAAUUAUUAUUUUUAUUAAUUUUUUAAUAAAUUGUGGAAUCCGAAUCAAGCCAUAUCAUCAUUUAACCGAGAAAUUCACAACCAACCCAAUGAAUGUAUAAUGGACCAAAUUUUAGAGAUGUGGUAUGACAUUGUCAAUUUUAAUGGAUAAAGUAUGAUAGUGUAGUGAGACGAGGUAAUUUUUUGUCAUUUACCCCAAAUAUAUUUAUGCAUCAAAUACAAUUAAAAAUUAAUAUAAAAAAAAUCAAAUACAAUUAAAAAUUAAUAUAAAAAAAAUAGAGAUAUACAAGCAACAACUACGCCUGUUCCACUACAUCAGCAUGCUUUCUAUGUCAUGUAUUUGACUUUUAUCCUAUUUAUAAGAGAAAUAAAUAUAUUAAAAAAAAUUUGGAGCCCCAAAAAAUAGGACGUCCUAGGCGGUCGCCUUACUCGGAAGAUUAUGCCGCGUAUCAAAAUAAAACUAAGACAACGUUGUCCACAAAAUAGAAACAUUGGGUUGGGUUUCAGGUCGUCUUCUUAGAAUCGCACGAGGCCCCUCUGAGUAGUGAGUACUAGUAAGCAGUAACAUACUAACAUGGAGCAAUUCAAAGGGCAGCCUCGGCUUCCGAAAUUCGCCUUGCCGAAACGGUACGACUUAAGGCUGAAGCCAGACCUCAAAGCUUGCAAAUUCAGCGGCUCCGUCGCCAUUCUCGUCGACAUCGUCUCCGAGACCCGGUUCAUCGUCCUCAACGCUGCCGAGCUCUCCGUCAAUGCCGUUUCCGUCUCUUUCACUCACACAGAUUCCUCCAAUGUGUAUUAUAUACUACUGAUCUCAUCUGAUCAUCCAUGCAAUUAACUAGGAUGCCUAAUUUGAAAGCAGACACUCCUCGAUUAAUUGUUUUAAUUUCCUUUAAGUGCUCCUGCUGUUCUGUUCAUGCUUUCAAAUAAUUAAUAACUGGAUGGAUUGAUUAUAUAAAUUCAAGUUAUGAAGCACCGAUCAAUUUAUUCAAUCCUGAAUCGAGGAAACACCAAAACACAUAUAUAUGUACUCUCCGUCUCCGAUACGACCACCCGAAACGAGAGUGUUUUUUACCCUACACAUUAAACUUUGAAGUGAGGGUUGCGUUCAGGCUUCUAUGGAUCCACAUGCUAAAGUAUUGCUGACGGAGGUGGAAAUUUUAUUAGAGCUCAAGAAUUUAUCGGGGUUUACUGCUUGUUAGGAUUUCUACUUGUUGGGAUAGGAAACAGGUGGAAUGACGGAAAAGAGAGAGAACAGUUUAGUGGGUGACUUUUGAAUUCUUUAUCUUUAUCCAAAAAUUAGUUUUACAUUUUUAAAUCUUUUCAAAAAUUAAAGGGCAUCAUUUAAUUUCAAGUUAACCAGGGUAUUAUACAGGACACGUGGCAAGCUCAUUAGGUGAUGGUGAGUAGAAAUGUUCCCAUUUAAUUAAUGUAAUCAUUUCAAUAUUUACUAUGUUUUAAAAUGAUUUGUUAUUAUCACUGAUUUGGUAAUAUUCUUUUUUAUUUGGAAGUGUUCGAAUCUCGUGAAUAGCAAAUUCGAUACCAAAUUAGGUUGCUCAUUGUAUGACUUAGUCGAACUCCCCCUCCCCUAGUGUAAAAAUAUCGAUGUACUAAAAAAAAAGAAUUUUUAUUGACACUCCAAAAAAUAUCAUUUGUACUCCAAAUUUUCUAUAAUUAAAAAAAAUACAUUGAAGUAUAAAAUGAGAUUUAUGGAGUGCUAAUAACAUUUUCCAUUUUAAAUAUUUUUAAGGUUAAAAAUAUAAUUUUAAUAUUUUUCAAUUGUAGCAUAAAUUUUGAGUUUUCAUGAAUGGCCGAACUCCCCUCCCAAAUCCCGGCUCCCCUAUCCUUGCUACAUUUUUUUUUUGAACAAACGAUAUUAUUUACAUUGAGGGGGAGAGGUGGGUUUAGCCUCACAAUGGGCUAGCAAUAAUGUGGUUCAAACUCACUUUUGACGAGACUCGAACCUAAGAUCUGUCACUUACAAGAGAAGAGAAGAGAAAUAUUAUUAAACCGUAAUACUAAGUGGCAUUCUUGCUACAUAUUAAGAUGCUAAUUUUUUUUUUUUAACAAACGAUAUUAUAUAUACACUAAGGGGUACGGGAGUGAGCUAAGCCUCACCCUCACAUUGGGCUAGUCAUCAAUAAUGUGGUUCAAAUUCACCUUGGCAAAAAUCGAAUAUAAAACCUAUCACUUACAAGUGAAGAGGAAUAUCACUAACCGUAAUACUAAGUGGCAUUAAGAUGCUAAUAAUAACAUUAAUUUUCAACUUUUACUGCCUUGUUUGGAGUACAAGACAAAAGUCAUUGACAUAACCGGAGGAAUUAAAGGCUUAAGUGGCUAUUGAGAUGAGAUUUUGCUUUUGGAGUUUGGGGAGACAUUCCGAUUGGAAGGGGAGUUUUGGCUAUUUUAUUUGAAGGAAUUCUGGAUGACAAGAUGCAGGGAUUCCAUAGAGUGUAAUGCUCCUUGAGUUCCGGAUUCGUUAUCCUGUUUGUUUAUCAACUUUUGAUUUUUCAAUGUGCCUAUUAUAUUUCAGUGGUAAAAUUUGAUUUAUCCUGUGCAGUAUGUAUGAGCAUAACGGUGAGAAGGAAUAUAUGGCUGCUACACAAUUUCAACCGGUUGAUCCCAGGCGGUGCUUUCCGUGUUGGGAUGAACCUGCUUGGAAGGUCGCUCUCGAUUUUUCUCUCUGAUAGUUGAAUUAGUUGAAUAAAUCUUGAUAUAUGUUUGUAUCUAGUCAUUUUGUAAAAUCAAUAUGGAUACUUUCGCACUGCUUAACCGCAGCUUUGAGUCUCAGAAGAAAGAUAGGUUUUUAUGGGAUAAGAAAUCAUUCCUUAAGUUAUUGUUAGAUUGUUUUACUAGGAUUGUUUGAAUUGACCCCAUUUAUUCUUAUCGAUUGGAACUUUGAUUGGCAGGCUACAUUUAAGAUUAGACUGGAUGACGUUCCAUCUGAAUUAAUUGCACUGACCAACAUGCCCAUUAUUGAAGAAAAAGUGGAUGGACAUCUGAAGACUGUUUUGUAUGAAGAGUCACCUAUCAUGUCGACAUACUUGGUGGCCAUUGUUGUUGAGUUGUUUGAUUACAUUGAAGAUCAUACAUCUGAUGGUAAAACUCAUACACAACAUCUCUUGUUCUGUAUUUGUUAGUAACCGUUUCUUGACAGUGUCAUAUUCCAUCUCCUCACAGGAGUCAAAGUGCGGGUAUAUUGUCAAGUUGGUAAAGCAAACCAAGGGGCGUUUGCUCUGAACUUUGCUGUCAGCGCUCUUGAAUUUUACGGAGAGUAUGUUUAUGGAUCUCAAAAUAACUCAAUGAAUCCUUUCUCUGAUUUUUGUCCCCUUCCGUGCUUAUGUUCAAUUGUUUAUCAUUUGAUAUGAAAUCAAUGACAAAAAAGUUCUACAGUUACUUUGCUGUGCCAUACCCCUUGCCAAAAUUAGAUAUGGUUGCAAUCCCUGAUUUUUUUGGCGCCAUGGAGAACUAUGGUUUAGUUACAUACCACGAAACGGUUUUGCUCUUUGAUGAACAUAACUCUUCAGCUGCCAACAAGUAAAUGGUAACAUACACAUACUGAAUGUCAAUCUUGUUUUCAUAAUUUAGCUUCAUUCUAGCUAUUGUUUUUUAACCUUAAUCAUUUCAUUUUGUUUUUGUGGAAGGUUGCAACUGUCGUGGCA